UGUCUUUGCGCAGCUGAAGAGACCCAGGGGUUUAGAAAAGCAAAAGAGAUGAGGAUUUUGGUUAUAUGGUUAGGAAAUCUGGGUUUGGUGAGUUCUUCUUUGGUUUGAUCAAGAGCUGUGGUUUUGGUGGGUUUCGAGAGAGUGAGGAUUGCAGAGAAUGUCAGGUUGUCAUUGGUUUAUAGAUAAGGGAAAUUGUGAGGUCGGCAGGUUUCUAUUGAUAGUGAGAAUCAGAUUGUGAAGUCAAGGACCGAGAUCGACACCAAAAAAGGUUUGGUAGGGUAUUUGUGGACGGCGAAAGAGGAAGAAGGAGGAGUGUAGAGACGGAAAGGUGUUGGUUAAAAUAAAGUCGUCGGAAGGUUUUUGUAAAUCCCCAUGAUCAUUGUUUUAUGUUUAAUCCCGCCAAAGUUAAUAGACCAACAUUUGGUUGGCGGCUAAGAUAAGAAGUUCAGACCUAAACGUUUCACUUGAUUUGAUUCGCUCUUCUGGAGUCUUAUAUUGCUUAUAUCAGUUUUCAGUUUUUGACAGGAAGUGGGAAAGAUAUUAAGAGAGUAAACACGGCCGUCCCUGAGCAGUGCUGAGGCGACUGCUUUAUGUCACCAAUCUCCAGUUGGUCUCCGGUAGUUUGAUUUUUAUGAACGUAGAAAACCAAUAUAUAACGCUUGUGCUACUUAUACAACAAUGUAAUUUAUUGGGAUAGGGGUAAGUGCGAUUCAUAUGUUUUUUUUUUUUUUUUUUGCUUAUUAGUUUCAGCCUUUCAAUGAUUUUUAUAUGCAGUUAUUUGCAAAAUUUGUCUAAAAACUAAAUGCUAGUUUGACGUGACGCCACAUUUUAAGUGUUUGUCUCAAACUUCUAAAGAGUUAAUUAGGAGUACUGGCCUAAAAUGUAAAAUUCAUUCUCGGUUAAUUACGAUAUUCACUUCUUUCUUUAUUUUUCAACAUUUCUUUACCGGGUCGUCGACGGUGUUCUGGCGAAGGCAGAGGGGCGGCGCUGUGCGGGUUCCGGCGACAGUGGCUGUGGUGAAGUUGGGCCCGACCUGGCUAGUAGUUUGUGGGCUCUUUUUUCCUCAGAUUAUGGCUUGGGCUUGGGCCCCCUUCGGCCUGGCUUGGGCUAGCUAUGUUUUUUCUGUUUUUACUUCUAUUUACUGUAGUUUUUUAUUUUGGUCGCGUCUUUGGCGGGAAAUAAGUGUCUACACGUGUUGUGUAGGACUAAUAGGGCCUUGUGCCAGUGUAUGCACUCAAUGUGCCUUAGUUGCUCUAGGUUGGCAGCGAGUUAUUUGCUUUGUUAAAUGGUCCCUACCGCCUAGUAGCAGGAUGAAACUAAGUGUCGUCGGAUUCGUCAUCUGGCGGCAACAUAGUAGGAAAGCUGUGUUAAAGCUCACAUUUAUGCUACGUUGUAAUCGUGUUACAUAUCGAGUUAUCUUUCCGUUAUGUCACUGCUAUUUCAAAGCAAAUGGAGCAGCCAGUAGUGCGCUCUUUGCUAGUUGGUGCUUGUUAGAAUACAAGUAUUGUGUAGAGAUUCCUGAUAUUAUUUCGGGACAUACUCUAGUUGCUUAUUGUAAUCAGGGGUUUAGGCUCAAUGUCCCCCCCUUGUAUUCACCAGUUUCGUUAAUCAAGGCUUGAGGGCAGCUGCACCAACCCUUCUUUCAA